rnacentral:rRNA from 1 species
CUACGGGUUGCUGCAGUGAGGAAUAUUGCACAAUGGGGGGAACCCUGAUGCAGCAACGCCGCGUGGAGGAUGACGCAUUUCGGUGUGUAAACUCCUUUUAUAUGUCAAGAAAAUGACGGUAGCAUAUGAAUAAGCACCGGCUAACUCCGUGCCAGCAGCCGCGGUAAGACGGAGGGUGCAAGCGUUACUCGGAAUCACUGGGCGUAAAGGACGCGUAGGCGGGUUGGAAAGUCAGGUGUGGAAUCCUACAGCUUAACUGUAGAACUGCACUUGAAACUUCUAAUCUAGAGUAUGGGAGGGGGAGAUGGAAUUAGUGGUGUAGGGGUAAAAUCCGUAGAUAUCACUAGGAAUACCUAAAGCGAAGGCGAUCUCCUGGAACAUUACUGACGCUAAGGCGUGAAAGCGUGGGGAGCAAACAGGAUUAGAUACCCUAGUAGUC